ACACCGGCAGCCCAAGUGGUGGCCAUUUUUAUUGGGCCUAAAGCGUUCGCAGCCGGCCUGAUAAGUCUCUGGUGAAAUCCCGCAGCUUAACUGUGGGAAUUGCUGGAGAUACUAUCAGGCUUGAGGUCGGGAGAGGUUAGAGGUACUCCCAGGGUAGGGGUGAAAUCCUAUAAUCCUGGGAGGACCACCUGUGGCGAAGGCGUCUAACUGGAACGAACCUGACGGUGAGUAACGAAAGCCAGGGGCGCGAACCGGAUUAGAUACCCGGGUAGUCCUGGCCGUAAACGAUGUGGACUUGGUGUUGGGAUGGCUUCGAGCUGCCCCAGUGCCGAAGGGAAGCUGUUAAGUCCACCGCCUGGGAAGUACGGCCGCAAGGCUGAAACUCAAAUGAAUUGGCGGGG
rnacentral:rRNA from 1 species